AAAAACUUGGGCGUCGAAGUAUAUU
rnacentral:guide_RNA from 1 species